rnacentral:tRNA from 1 species
UGGCUCAGUCAGUAAAGCAUCUGCCUGUAAUGCAGGAGACCCAGGUUCAAUCCCUGG